UGGUUCGAACCGUGAACCAAACCAGCGACCAUAUAUUCAACGGUUUGCAGCGCUGCGAAAAGGAUAUUUUUCAAGCUUGGCCUUAAUUUAUCGGAGGCAUAGUUAUUUUAUUAUUGCAAUACAUAGAACAUUGCUUGUAAAGGAAAUAUCUGGCUAGAAAACUCAUUCCUUAGAAUAUGAUUUUCUUCUAUUUAAAAGAACUACGUUUAGUGAACACUCCGUGCCCAACUAUUAAUUCGGGAAAUGGAAUCUCGGCAAUCAUGACUGGCGGGCAAAACUAUCUUGCGUCGACUUCAACGAGCGUCGCACCCAGGAGACAGACUGCCAAUUAACAGUUACAUGUUUGUACAAAAUAAUUGGGUUGCGUGACACGAGGAUUAGCGACAGCCAGGACGAGCAGCAGGAGCAGGAGCAGGAGAUGGGCUGCGCUAAAUAGUAAAUAAAUAGAGGAGCUCUGUUUAAAACAAACAGAGAGAAUGCCAUACACGGCCGACUAUAUAA